rnacentral:rRNA from 1 species
UGUGCCCUUGAGGCGUGGCUUCCGGAGCUAACGCGUUAAGUAGACCGCCUGGGGAGUACGGCCGCAAGGUUAAAACUCAAAUGAAUUGACGGGGGCCCGCACAAGCGGUGGAGCAUGUGGUUUAAUUCGAUGCAACGCGAAGAACCUUACCUGGUCUUGACAUCCACAGAAGUUUGCAGAGAUGCGAAUGUGCCUUCGGGAACUGUGAGACAGGUGCUGCAUGGCUGUCGUCAGCUCGUGUUGUGAAAUGUUGGGUUAAGUCCCGCAACGAGCGCAACCCUUAUCCUUUGUUGCCAGCGGUUAGGCCGGGAACUCAAAGGAGACUGCCAGUGAUAAACUGGAGGAAGGUGGGGAUGACGUCAAGUCAUCAUGGCCCUUACGACCAGGGCUACACACGUGCUACAAUGGCGCAUACAAAGAGAAGCGACCUCGCGAGAGCAAGCGGACCUCAUAAAGUGCGUCGUAGUCCGGAUUGGAGUCUGCAACUCGACUCCAUGAAGUCGGAAUCGCUAGUAAUCGUGGAUCAGAAUGCCACGGUGAAUACGUUCCCGGGCCUUGUACACACCGCCCGUCACACCAUGGGAGUGGGUUGCAAAAGAAGUAGGUAGCUUAACCUUCGGGAGGGCGCUUACCACUUUGUGAUUCAUGACUGGGGUGAAGUCGUAACAAGGUAACCGUAGGGGAACCUGCGGUUGGA